AGCGAACGCUGGCGGCAGGCCUAACACAUGCAAGUCGAACGAACCUUUCGGGGUUAGUGGCGGACGGGUUAGUAACACGUGGGAACGUGCCUUUAGGUUCGGAAUAACUCAGGGAAACUUGUGCUAAUACCGAAUGUGCCCUUCGGGGGAAAGAUUUAUCGCCUUUAGAGCGGCCCGCGUCUGAUUAGCUAGUUGGUUGAGGUAAUGGCUCACCAAGGCGACGAUCAGUAGCUGGUCUGAGAGGAUGAUCAGCCACAUUGGGACUGUGACACGGCCCAAAAUCCUACGGGAUGCAGCAGUGGGGAAUCGUGCGCAAUGGGCGAAAGCCUGACGCAGCCAUGCCGCGUGAAUGAUGAAGGUCUUAGGAUUGUAAAAUUCUUUCACCGGGGACGAUAAUGACGGUACCCGGAGAAGAAGCCCCGGCUAACUUCGUG
rnacentral:rRNA from 1 species